CCACAUCACCCGUCUCUCCAUCUAGUAGCGGCGAACGAGUAGUGGCCGCCGCCGCCGCCGCUCUUCCCGGCGACGGCGAGGCCAUCUCUCCUCCCGGCGCCUCCGUGCGGUCGCCGCUCUACGGGUCCCGCGCGGACGAGCCUACGGGAAAGCGGCGACCUCCACCAUCCAGCCCACGCGGAAAAACAUUUGGGAGUUGCACUGACCAGAUGAUACAUCAUAUCGGCCUUCUCGUAGCGAGGUGAAUGAUAAGGCGGCAUCAAAAACGCCGAAAUCCGUUUCAAGGAAAGCCUUGUGGCUGCGAUAAAAUGAUUCCAGGUUAAACAAACAUGAUGAAGCUGCCAUCCAUCAACGUACGUACCUGGUCCUGCAGUAAACGUGAGCAGGGCGCAUUGGUUGGAAGCUGUUCUUGACGAGAAGAAGCAACUGGCCACCGGCAAAAUCCAUGACGGCCGCGGCGGCGGCCGGCGGCCAUCGCCGGAGCGGCGGUACAAUUGUUCAGGGAGGAGACGACGCCCAUGGCCAUGGCUGGGCCAACCAUUAUAGCAGGAGUCAUUGAACAAUUUCUUCCCUGGCAAAACAAUGGAUGCUCCUGUGGCUGAAUCUUCCUAUUCAUUGCGUGUAUUUAUAUCCGACGUAAGAUGACUUGUAUGAAAAUUUAACAAUUUGACCCCUUUAUGAGAACUUAUUUGUAGAAUAGAUUGCACUAAAAACUAAUUGAAAAAUAAACCUGAUGCCAAAAAUGUAUGAAAAGAUAAACUUGCUCUUCAACGUGAGACCUGAUGGUGCUAAAUUAUGUUGUUCAAGGCUUCAAGCCCCGAUAGGUGCACAUUUCUCAUAUGUUGUUCUUG